rnacentral:rRNA from 1 species
CCACCCGCAAGGGAGGAGGAGCCGAAGGUGGGGCUGGUGACUGGGGUGAAGUCGUAACAAGGUAGCCGUACCGGAAGGUGUGGCUGGAUCACCUCCUUU